AAUUAUUAAACAGCAACUAAUUUGUAAUUUUUAUAAAUAAUAGUUGCUUUCUCAUUCUGAUUGCUGCAAAGCUUGGACAAAUGCAUCCUUCAGGAGAGGGUUUGAAGCUGCCACUCUCUGAGAGGUGAUGUCAAAAUCUUCACCAGAUCUGAUGUAAAACAACCACCAAAACCUUAAUAUAAAAUACUAUAUUCUGAACAAAAUCUAGGCGCAUUUGUGUUCUUAGUGUCAUGACCACAAUGGGCGUCGAUGUCAAGGCUUGCCAGUUGUGUAGCCCUAAGUAUUGACCCUUUGCAUCCCCAACCGAUAAAUUUAUUUGUAAAUGUCACAGGACAAUGACUCAUGCAAAAUUGACUUUUAGCCCAUGGUAUCAUUUUCUAUUUUUAAGCUAAUCCCGUAGUAUCAUUUUGGUACGACAAAUGGAGCACUAACUAAUCCACUCUACUUUGUAUUCUCCUGGUUAACUAGAAAAAAAUAUAAUAAAAAAAUAACCUCUACUUUGUAUUCUCCUGGUUAACUAGAAAAAAAUAUAAUAAAAAAAUAAC
rnacentral:misc_RNA from 1 species